rnacentral:rRNA from 1 species
UUGCCCUACGGGACGCAGCAGUGGGGAAUAUUGGGCAAUGGGCGCAAGCCUGACCCAGCAACGCCGCGUGAAGGAAGAAGGCUUUCGGGUUGUAAACUUCUUUUCUGAGGGACGAUAGUGACGGUACCUCAGGAAUAAGCCACGGCUAACUACGUGCCAGCAGCCGCGGUAAUACGUAGGUGGCGAGCGUUAUCCGGAUUUACUGGGUGUAAAGGGCGUGUAGGCGGAAUGGUAAGUCAGAUGUGAAAACUAUGGGCUCAACCCAUAGCCUGCAUUUGAAACUAUCGUUCUUGAGUGUUGGAGAG